GGGUGAGUAACACGUGAGUAACCUGCCCUUCAGAGGGGGACAACAGUUGGAAACGACUGCUAAUACCGCAUACGAUCCAAUCUCGGCAUCGAGACUGGAUGAAAGGUGGCCUCUAUUUAUAAGCUAUCACUGAAGGAGGGGAUUGCGUCUGAUUAGCUAGUUGGAGGGGUAACGGCCCACCAAGGCGAUGAUCAGUAGCCGGUCUGAGAGGAUGAACGGCCACAUUGGGACUGAGACACGGCCCAGACUCC
rnacentral:rRNA from 1 species